AGCUGAUCAUUGGGUGUAAAGCGUGCGCAGGCGGUUUUGUAAGACAGAGGUGAAAUCCCCGGGCUCAACCUGGGAACUGCCUUUGUGACUGCAAAGCUGGAGUGCGGCAGAGGGGGAUGGAAUUCCGCGUGUAGCAGUGAAAUGCGUAGAUAUGCGGAGGAACACCGAUGGCGAAGGCAAUCCCCUGGGCCUGCACUGACGCUCAUGCACGAAAGCGUGGGGAGCAAACA
rnacentral:rRNA from 1 species